rnacentral:rRNA from 1 species
CCUACGGGAGGCAGCAGUGGGGAAUAUUGGGCAAUGGGCGCAAGCCUGACCCAGCAAUGCCGCGUGAAGGAAGAAGGCUUUCGGGUUGUAAACUUCUUUUACCGGGGACGAGGAAAGUGCGGUACCCUGAAAACAAGGCACGGCUAACUACGUUCCAGCAGCCCCGGUAAUACGUAGGUGGCAAGCGUUGUCCGGAUUUACUGGGUGUAAAGGGCGUGUAGCCGGGAAGGCAAGUCAGAUGUGAAAUCUGGAGGCUCAACCUCCAAAUUGCAUUUGAAACUGUUUGUCUUGAGUACUGGAGAGGCAGACGGAAUUCCUUGUGUAGCGGUGAAAUGCGUAGAUAUAAGGAGGAACACCAGUGGCGAAGGCGGUCUGCUGGACAGCAACUGACGGUGAGGCGCGAAAGCGUGGGGAGCAAACAGGAUUAGAUACCCCAGUAGUC